rnacentral:rRNA from 1 species
UACGGAGGUCUCGAGCGUUGUUCGGAUUCAUUGGGCGUAAAGGGCGCGUAGGCGGCGGGGCAAGUCGGGUGUGAAAUCUCAGAGCUCAACUCUGAAACUGCACUCGAUACUGCUUUGCUUGAGGACUGGAGAGGAGAAUGGAAUUCCCGGUGUAGCGGUGAAAUGCGCAGAUAUCGGGAAGAACACCCGUGGCGAAGGCGGUUCUCUGGGACGGUACUGACGCUGAGACGCGAAAGCGUGGGGAGCGAACAGG